rnacentral:rRNA from 1 species
AUUGAACGCUGGCGGCAUGCUUUACACAUGCAAGUCGAACGGCAGCACAGGGAGCUUGCUCCUGGGUGGCGAGUGGCGAACGGGUGAGUAAUGUAUCGGAACGUGCCUGGUAGUGGGGGAUAACUACUCGAAAGAGUGGCUAAUACCGCAUGAGAUCUUUGGAUGAAAGCGGGGGACCUUCGGGCCUCGUGCUACUGGAGCGGCCGAUAUCAGAUUAGGUUGUUGGUGGGGUAAAGGCCUACCAAGCCUGCGAUCUGUAGCUGGUCUGAGAGGACGACCAGCCACACUGGGACUGAGACACGGCCCAGACUCCUACGGGAGGCAGCAGUGGGGAAUUUUGGACAAUGGGCGCAAGCCUGAUCCAGCAAUGCCGCGUGGAGGACGAAGGCCUUCGGGUUGUAAACUGCUUUUGUACAGAACGAAAAGUCUCUGGCUAAUAUCUAGAGAUCAUGACGGUACUGUAAGAAUAAGCACCGGCUAACUACGUG